AGAGUUUGAUCCUGGCUCAGGACGAACGCUGGCGGCGUGCCUAACACAUGCAAGUCUUGGGAGAAAGAGAUAGCAAUAUCUUGAGUAAACCGGCGCAAGGGUGAGUAAUACGUAAGUAAUCUACCCAAAGGACGGGAAUAACCUCGAGAAAUCGGAGCUAAUGCCCGAUAACAUUUUUCUGUGGCAUCACAGGAAAAUCAAAGCCGAAAGGUGCCUUUGGAUGAGCUUGCGUCCCAUUAGAUAGUUGGCGGGGUAACGGCCCACCAAGUCGACGAUGGGUAGCUGGUCUGAGAGGACGAUCAGCCACACUGGAACUGAGAUACGGUCCAGACUCCUACGGGAGGCAGCAGUGAGGAAUAUUGCGCAAUGCCCGAAAGGGUGACGCAGCGACGCCGCGUGGAGGAUGAAUGCCCUAUGGGUUGUAAACUCCUUUUGUGAGGGAAUAAACUCUCGCUACAGGCGGGUUUGAAUGUACCUCAUGAAUAAGCAUCGGCUAACUACGUGCCAGCAGCCGCGGUAAUACGUAGGAUGCGAGCGUUGUCCGGAUUUACUGGGUGUAAAGGGAGCGCAGGCGGAUUUGUAAGUCGGCGGUGAAAUUUUUGGGCUUAACCCAAAAACUGCCACCGAUACUGCGAAUCUCGAGUGCAGAAGAGGUUGAUGGAAUUCUAGGUGUAGCGGUGAAAUGCGUAGAUAUCUAGAAGAACACCAAUGGCGAAGGCAGUCAACUGGUCUGCUACUGACGCUCAUGCUCGAAAGCGUGGGGAGCAAACAGGAUUAGAUACCCUGGUAGUCCACGCCCUAAAC
rnacentral:rRNA from 1 species